CUGUCAUCUUCAUUAGAUUGUUUAUAUUCAGCUUGGUGUCAGACUUUGGGAACGACAUCCAGUGCUUUGUGGCUGUUAGACGGUCCUAGAUAAGCUGAUGAAACUUGAACUCAGAACUGUGGUGGACAUUCUUAGGGAAGGUGAUUUGCCACACGACCAGGACCUACAUCUUGUUAACGAGGAACCCAAAUGGAAUCAAGGAGUGGAAAAAAUCGGUUUCUUAUGCCUCUGCACUUCACCUUUCUCCUGUUCAUCCCACUCUGCCAUCAUUGCCUGCUUACCUCCGAAUUGCCCACAACAGUGCAGUCUGAGCACGGACCACACCUCCCAUGCAGCGGUGGCUUUGUGAUCUGUCCACAUGGGAGGCGGAUGUUUUUCUGAGUCUCAGAGUCCCUAUCUGAAUAGUGAAGAGGAAAGCUGUCUAUAUCUUCUUCCAGCACUGCAGAUCCCCAGGACGAAGCUUUUUGAAUUAAGGAAAUGAUGCAGGAUAAGAAGACUUAAUCAGGAGAGAGCAUCAGAGAUGAGAACAGAGGUUCGUAAACCCUCAAGAAUGGGUACAACUUUGGCAGAGGCCACAUCACAUCAGAGAACUAUCAACAUGCCCGACUUGGCCAUCAGGAAAAGAAACCACAUCAGUUAAAUGCAAAUUCAUAGGCACAAUGACACACACAAAAACUGCACAACGUGAAAGGGACAUGACUGGCCAGUGUGGCCAGAGCAAAAGUCUUUCCCAAGCCCAAGUCCCUGGGUCAACAUGGGGCCUGCAAAGUUAGAGGAACUUUGUUGGAGCCAGAGUCUGAAUUCACGCAGUCUGAAUUCACCGAGCCUUCCCCGUCCCUCACCUGUGU